rnacentral:rRNA from 1 species
GAAAGUAAACAAGGGCGCAUGGAGGAUGCCUAGGCUCUCGGAGGCGAAGAAGGACGUGAUAAGCUGCGAAAAGUUACGGUAAGGCGCAAAUAGCCCUAGACCCGUAAAUAUCCGAAUGGGGCAACCCGGCCAGCAAUGGCCAUACCGCCAAGCGGUAAGCCAACGCGGGGAACUGAAACAUCUAAGUACCCGCAGGAAAAGAAAAUAACAAUGAUUCCGCCAGUAGUGGCGAGCGAACGCGGAACAGCCCAAACCACUCGUGUUACGGCACGGGUGGGGUAGAAGGAUCCACGAUACGGCAAGAAAUAAGUUAGCGGAAUACGAUGGAAAUCGUAGCCAAAGACGGUGACAGCCCGGUACGCGAAAACGGACAGAAGCCCAGUGGACACCUGAGUAACCCAGGACACGAGAAAUCCGGGGCGAAUCAGCGGGGCCCAUCCCGUAAGGCUAAAUACUCCCGAGAGACCGAUAGCGAACCAGUACUGUGAAGGAAAGGUGAAAAGAACCUCGAACAGAGGAGUGAAAAAGACCCUGAAACCAUGCGCCUACAAGCGGUCGGAGCAUGUUAAAAUGUGACGGCGUGCCUUUUGCAUAAUGAACCUACGAGUUACUCUCGCUGGCAAGGUUAAGCGAUUCAGUCGCGCAGCCGAAGCGAAAGCAAGUCCGAACAAGGCGUACAGUCAGCGGGAGUAGACGCGAAACCAAGUGAUCUACCCUUGGUCAGGUUGAAGGUUGGGUAACACCAACUGGAGGACCGCACCGAUAAGCGUUGAAAAGCUUACGGAUGAACUGAGGGUAGGAGUGAAAGGCCAAUCAAACUUGGAGAUAGCUCGUACUCCCCGAAAUGCAUUUAGGUGCAGCCUCGAAGCAGAGUGAUAGAGGUAGAGCGACUGAUAAGAUGCGAGGGCUUCACCGCCUAUCAAGUCUUGACAAACUCCGAAUACUAUCACUUGAUCUUUGGGAGUGAGGGCAUGGGUGCUAAGGUCCAUGUCCGAAAGAGGAACAACUCAGACCACCGGCUAAGGUCCCGAAAUAAGGGCUAAGUUGAACAAACGAAGUAAAACUGCAAAGACAGCUAGGAUGUUGGCUUGGAAGCAGCCAUUCAUUUAAAGAGUGCGUAACAGCUCACUAGUCGAGGAGUUUUGCAUGGAUAAUAAUCGGGCAUAAGCCCUUUACCGAAGCUGUGGAUGUCGUAAGACAUGGUAGGGGAGCAUUCCGGCGGCGACGAAGGCCGUCCUCGAGGACGACUGGAGCUUUCGGAAAAGCAAAUGUAGGUAUAAGUAACGAUAAAGGGGGCGCGAAACCCCCUCGCCAUAAGACUAAGGAUUCCUGAUCAACGCUAAUCGGAUCAGGGUAAGUCGGGCCCUAAGGCGCAGCCGAACGGCGCAGCCGAUGGAAGAAACGGUAAAAAUUCCGUUACUGGAUAUAGGAGCGAUGUGGAGACGGAGAAGUGACACACCCGCCUGCCGACGGAAGCGCAGGUUAAAGGAAGUAGGUAAACGCCGGGCAGGCAAAUCCGCCUGGCGUGCCGAAGCUGACAGUAUCGAGAGCCCCCGGGCAAUCGAAUAGCGGUGGUAAUCAGGCUCCCAAGAAAAUCCGCUAAGCAUAUUCUAUAUUCACCCGUACCCCAAACGGACACACGUAGUCGGGUAGAAUAUACCAAGGCGCUCGAAAGACUCACGGUUAAGGAACUAGGCAAAUUGACCCUGUAACCUCGGGAAAAAGGGUCCCCAGUAAGAUGGGGCGCAGAGAAUAGGUCCAGGCAACUGUUUAACAAAAACACAGGGCUGUGCAAAAUUUCAAGAUGAAGUAUACAGCCUGACACCUGCCCGGUGCCGGAAGGUUAAGAGGAGAGCUUAUCGCAAGAGAAGGCUUGAAUUGAAGCCCCGGUAAACGGCGGCCGUAACUAUAACGGUCCUAAGGUAGCGAAAUUCCUUGUCGGGUAAGUUCCGACCUGCACGAAUGG